UGGUAGCUAGCGAGGGCUUUGAGACGGCCGAGAGUUUGAGCGCCAAGGCUCUCUCUCCCCAGGGGACUCUGCAACCUGACUAGGUGCUCCUUCCCUGAGCAUAGUAACAUUCCAGGGAGCUGCCCGGGGAAGCUUAACGCUCGAUGCGGCCAAAGAGAUGUCAUGAUUUUGAGGGGAGCUUUUUCUGCUAUGGAUAUGAGACCGUGCUUGGAAGAAAUGAUUUAUUGCAAAUUUACUAUGAUGGACAAUCUGUCUUUCAGGGUGGUAGGAAUGUAUCAUGGUGGGAGAGUCAUGGCAGCAGGCAGCUGGAACAGGACACUAAGUAAGAACACCUUCAACUACAAGCAGAAGUCAAGGAGAACUGAAAGUGACAACUGGAACCUUGAGAGCCAAGGGAGAUUGUGGAGAGGAUGUGAGCAGAUGGCCGCUGAGGAUAGCUGACCGGGUGGGUGGGCUGGAACCUAGGCCAGGACCUGCCACCUGAGGAUUGUGCCUGCGAUGUCCAUAUGAUUGUGAACAGCUAAACAGGGAGCUCUGCUCUGUUGAAAAUCAUAAAGUUGAAAAUGAAAAGAGAUAAAACCUUAAGCACAGAAGAAUAUUUUGUCUUUGGUGAAAAGAACAACUUAAGAUUAAUUUUAUUUUUAUGCUGUAUAUGCGUGUGGGUAUGUGCAUGCAAAUUUGGGUGACUCCAAAGGUCAGAGCAUCAAAUCACUUGGAGCUGGGAUUAUAGGCAAAUGAAAGCUGCCAAGCAUAGGAAUCUAACGAAUGUCCUCUGUAUGAGCAGAGAGUACUCCUUACUGCAGAGCCAUGUUUCCAGCUUAAGGAGGGCUUUUAGAAAGAAGAUUGAUAGAGAAUACAUACUUAAUAGUUUGAUGUACUAAAAAGGUUAAUUUUUAUUCACUAUAGACACUAGAAAUAAUAUUUACAAUUUAUAUAAUGCAUGUGAUUAUAGAACUAGAAGUAACAAUAUUAAAUAUAAAUAAAUUAUUGUAAGUCAGAUAAGAGAGAUGGAAACCCCAGUAGGAAAAACCCAUUAAAGUAACUAAAAUGUGG
rnacentral:lncRNA from 1 species